GUGCCCGGCAUGGCGGGUCCCUCAGCCCCGGCCGUGGGGACGCGAGGGCCGAGCCCCGUCUCCGCAGGGUGUCCGCCCUGCUCUCCCUCCGGAUGGGCGGUUAUUAUAGAUAUGGAACAGACAAAAUAUUGAGAAUAAACAAGAAAAGGAGUAAAUACAAUAUACACUACAUUUUGUGUAGAAAUCCAGGCUACAGAAUUCCAGGAAACUGCUGAGGAAGAUCAGGGGACUCGACUUGUCGUCAACUGCUGGUAAAAAGCACUACACAGAACUAGAUGCUCUUCUAAUUAACAUGGAGUAUGACAUCUGACCAUGAAAUCUACUGCUGAAAAGUAGUAUGCA